rnacentral:rRNA from 1 species
GACGAACGCUGGCGGCGUGCCUAAUACAUGCAAGUCGAGCGAGACUCUUUGGGGUCUAGCGGCGGACGGGUGAGUAACACGUGGGCAACCUGCCUGUAAGACUGGGAUAACACCGGGAAACCGGUGCUAAUACCGGAUAAUCCUUUUCCUCUCAUGAGGAAAAGCUGAGAGUCGGUUUCGGCUGACACUUACAGAUGGGCCCGCGGCGCAUUAGCUAGUUGGUGAGGUAACGGCUCACCAAGGCGACGAUGCGUAGCCGACCUGAGAGGGUGAUCGGCCACACUGGGACUGAGACACGGCCCAGACUCCUACGGGAGGCAGCAGUAGGGAAUCUUCCACAAUGGACGAAAGUCUGAUGGAGCAACGCCGCGUGAGCGAUGAAGGCCUUCGGGUCGUAAAGCUCUGUUGUUAGGGAAGAACAAGUACCGGAGUAACUGCCGGUACCUUGACGGUACCUAACCAGAAAGCCACGGCUAACUACGUGCCAGCCGCCGCAGUAAUAC